UUUAGCAACUAUAUCACCCUGCAACUCCCAGCUGGCAGCCAACUGAAGCUCAGCAGGUGUGAGCCUGGCCAGUACCUGGAUGGGGGACACCUGGGAAAGAUCAGGUUGCUGCUGGAA
rnacentral:rRNA from 1 species